GUACACGCUGUGACUAGCAUAUCAAUAAGCGGAGGAAAAGAAACUAACAAGGAUUCCCCUAGUAACGGCGAGUGAAGCGGGAAGAGCUCAAAUUUGAAAGUCUUAAAGGGUUUCCCUUUACGAAUUGUAGUUUAAAGAAGUGUUUUCUGUUGAGGUUUUGGUAAAGGUUCUUUGGAAUAGGACAUCAUAGAGGGUGAGAAUCCCGUAUUUGACCUUUACUUUCAACUUUGUGAUACACUUUCAAAGAGUCGGAUUGUUUGGGAAUGCAGUCCAAAAUGGGUGGUAAAUUUCAUCUAAAGCUAAAUAUUGGCGAGAGACCGAUAGCGAACAAGUACCGUGAGGGAAAGAUGAAAAGAACUUUGAAAAGAGAGUUAAACAGUACGUGAAAUUGUCAAAAGGGAAGCGUUUGACACCAGUGUUGUUUUUCUGAAAAUCAAUUAAAGAACUGUUUAUGCUAAGUUGUUUAGACUUUAUCAGCUAACUGUUUAGUUUUGAGCUUUCCUUUAAUGCACUUUUCAGUUAACAAGUCAACAUCAAUUUCUUUUGCUGUAAAAGAGCUUGAGGAAGGUGGCUUGAGAUUCGUCUUAAGUGUUUAUAGCCUCUUGCCUAUGCAGUCGGAGAGAUUGAGGUCUGCAGCGUAGAUCCUUCGGGGAUAAAUGCAUUUGUGCUAAGUUAUAGCAUUUUCAUAGACAACUUGUUGACUAUGAUUUGUCUUGUAGCUUACUCGCUUAUGUUAUUUUACCUACGCUUAGGAUGUUGAGUCGUAGAGCACGCAG
rnacentral:rRNA from 1 species